GAGUGGAAUUCCUAGUGUAGCGGUGAAAUGCGUAGAUAUUAGGAGGAACACCAGUUGCGAAGGCGGCUCUCUGGACUGUAACUGACGCUGAGGCACGAAAGCGUGGGGAGCAAACAGGAUUAGAUGCCCUGGUAGUCCACGCUGUAAACGAUGAGUACUAGGUGUCGGGGGUUACCCCCUUCGGUGCCGCAGCUAACGCAUUAAGUACUCCGCCUGGGAAGUACGCUCGCAAGAGUGAAACUCAAAGGAAUUG
rnacentral:rRNA from 1 species